rnacentral:rRNA from 1 species
UACGAAGGGGGCUAGCGUUGCUCGGAAUCACUGGGCGUAAAGGGUGCGUAGGCGGGUCUUUAAGUCAGGGGUGAAAUCCUGGAGCUCAACUCCAGAACUGCCUUUGAUACUGAAGAUCUUGAGUUCGGGAGAGGUGAGUGGAACUGCGAGUGUAGAGGUGAAAUUCGUAGAUAUCGGGAGGAACACCAGUGGCGAAGGCGGCGAUCUGGGCUGAUACUGACGCUGAGGUGCGAAAGCGUGGGGAGCAAACAGG